UACGGAGGGUGCAAGCGUUAUCCGGAUUCACUGGGUUUAAAGGGUGCGUAGGUGGGUUGGUAAGUCAGUGGUGAAAUCCUGGAGCUCAACUCCAGAACUGCCUUUGAUACUGGAGAGCUUGAGUCCGGGAGAGGUGAGUGGAACUCCGAGUGUAGAGGUGAAAUUCGUAGAUAUUCGGAAGAACACCAGUGGCGAAGGCGGCUCACUGGCCCGGUACUGACGCUGAGGUGCGAAAGCGUGGGGAGCAAACAGG
rnacentral:rRNA from 1 species